rnacentral:rRNA from 1 species
GGUUAAGCGACUAAGCGUACACGGUGGAUGCCCUGGCAGUCAGAGGCGAUGAAGGGCGUGCUAAUCUGCGAUAAGCGCCGGUAAGGUGAUAUGAACCGUUAUAACCGGCGAUACCCGAAUGGGGAAACCCAGUGUGAUUCGUCACACUAUCAUUAACUGAAUCCAUAGGUUAAUGAGGCGAACCGGGGGAACUGAAACAUCUAAGUACCCCGAGGAAAAGAAAUCAACCGAGAUUCCCCCAGUAGCGGCGAGCGAACGGGGAGGAGCCCAGAGCCUGAAUCAGCAUGUGUGUUAGUGGAAGCGUCUGGAAAGGCGCGCGAUACAGGGUGACAGCCCCGUACACAAAAGCGCAUGUGCUGUGAGCUCGAUGAGUAGGGCGGGACACGUGGUAUCCUGUCUGAAUAUGGGGGGACCAUCCUCCAAGGCUAAAUACUCCUGACUGACCGAUAGUGAACCAGUACCGUGAGGGAAAGGCGAAAAGAACCCCGGCGAGGGGAGUGAAAAAGAACCUGAAACCGUGUACGUACAAGCAGUGGGAGCCCCACCACCAAAGCAUUCUCUGGUGUUGAAGGCCCUGCAAAGCAGCAUCGCGGUGGCGGAGCGUCGUUUGCGACGCCCAACACACAAAACAAGCGGUGAAUGCUUUGGGGUGGGGUGACUGCGUACCUUUUGUAUAAUGGGUCAGCGACUUAUAUUCUGUAGCAAGGUUAACCGAAUAGGGGAGCCGGAGGGAAACCGAGUCUUAAUUGGGCGUUAAGUUGCAGGGUAUAGACCCGAAACCCGGUGAUCUAGCCAUGGGCAGGUUGAAGGUUGGGUAACACUAACUGGAGGACCGAACCGACUAAUGUUGAAAAAUUAGCGGAUGACCUGUGGCUGGGGGUGAAAGGCCAAUCAAACCGGGAGAUAGCUGGUUCUCCCCGAAAGCUAUUUAGGUAGCGCCUCGUGAAUUCAUCUCCGGGGGUAGAGCACUGUUUCGGCUAGGGGGCCAUCCCGGCUUACCAACCCGAUGCAAACUGCGAAUACCGGAGAAUGUUAUCACGGGAGACACACGGCGGGUGCUAACGUCCGUCGUGAAGAGGGAAACAACCCAGACCGCCAGCUAAGGUCCCAAAGUCAUGGUUAAGUGGGAAACGAUGUGGGAAGGCCCAGACAGCCAGGAUGUUGGCUUAGAAGCAGCCAUCAUUUAAAGAAAGCGUAAUAGCUCACUGGUCGAGUCGGCCUGCGCGGAAGAUGUAACGGGGCUAAACCAUGCACCGAAGCUGCGGCAGCGAACGUAUCACUUAAAGCGAUUCAGCGGGUUACGAUUGACGGAGCGAAGCGACGUCAAAGCGUAUACAAAGUCGAGUCGGUUUAAGGAUACGUUCGUUGGGUAGGGGAGCGUUCUGUAAGCCCGUGAAGGUGGCCUGUGAGGGUUGCUGGAGGUAUCAGAAGUGCGAAUGCUGACAUAAGUAACGAUAAAGCGGGUGAAAAGCCCGCUCGCCGGAAGACCAAGGGUUCCUGUCCAACGUUAAUCGGGGCAGGGUGAGUCGACCCCUAAGGCGAGGCCGAAAGGCGUAGUCGAUGGGAAACGGGUUAAUAUUCCCGUACUUGGUGUUACUGCGAAGGGGGGACGGAGAAGGCUAUGUUGGCCGGGCGACGGUUGUCCCGGUUUAAGCGUGUAGGUGUGUGUUCCAGGUAAAUCCGGUUCACUUUAACACUGAGGCGUGACGACGAGGCACUACGGUGCUGAAGCAACAAAUGCCCUGCUUCCAGGAAAAGCCUCUAAGCAUCAGGUAACAUCAAAUCGUACCCCAAACCGACACAGGUGGUCAGGUAGAGAAUACCAAGGCGCUUGAGAGAACUCGGGUGAAGGAACUAGGCAAAAUGGUGCCGUAACUUCGGGAGAAGGCACGCUGACACGUAGGUGAAGUGAUUUACUCACGGAGCUGAAGUCAGUCGAAGAUACCAGCUGGCUGCAACUGUUUAUUAAAAACACAGCACUGUGCAAACACGAAAGUGGACGUAUACGGUGUGACGCCUGCCCGGUGCCGGAAGGUUAAUUGAUGGGGUCAGCGCAAGCGAAGCUCCUGAUCGAAGCCCCGGUAAACGGCGGCCGUAACUAUAACGGUCCUAAGGUAGCGAAAUUCCUUGUCGGGUAAGUUCCGACCUGCACGAAUGGCGUAAUGAUGGCCAGGCUGUCUCCACCCGAGACUCAGUGAAAUUGAACUCGCUGUGAAGAUGCAGUGUACCCGCGGCAAGACGGAAAGACCCCGUGAACCUUUACUAUAGCUUGACACUGAACAUUGAGCCUUGAUGUGUAGGAUAGGUGGGAGGCUUUGAAGUGUGGACGCCAGUCUGCAUGGAGCCGACCUUGAAAUACCACCCUUUAAUGUUUGAUGUUCUAACGUGGACCCGUAAUCCGGGUUGCGGACAGUGUCUGGUGGGUAGUUUGACUGGGGCGGUCUCCUCCUAAAGAGUAACGGAGGAGCACGAAGGUUGGCUAAUCCUGGUCGGACAUCAGGAGGUUAGUGCAAUGGCAUAAGCCAGCUUGACUGCGAGCGUGACGGCGCGAGCAGGUGCGAAAGCAGGUCAUAGUGAUCCGGUGGUUCUGAAUGGAAGGGCCAUCGCUCAACGGAUAAAAGGUACUCCGGGGAUAACAGGCUGAUACCGCCCAAGAGUUCAUAUCGACGGCGGUGUUUGGCACCUCGAUGUCGGCUCAUCACAUCCUGGGGCUGAAGUAGGUCCCAAGGGUAUGGCUGUUCGCCAUUUAAAGUGGUACGCGAGCUGGGUUUAGAACGUCGUGAGACAGUUCGGUCCCUAUCUGCCGUGGGCGCUGGAGAACUGAGGGGGGCUGCUCCUAGUACGAGAGGACCGGAGUGGACGCAUCACUGGUGUUCGGGUUGUCAUGCCAAUGGCACUGCCCGGUAGCUAAAUGCGGAAGAGAUAAGUGCUGAAAGCAUCUAAGCACGAAACUUGCCCCGAGAUGAGUUCUCCCUGAGACUUAGAGUCUCCUGAAGGAACGUUGAAGACGACGACGUUGAUAGGCCGGGUGUGUAAGCGCAGCGAUGCGUUGAGCUAACCGGUACUAAUGAACCGUGAGGCUUAACCUU